rnacentral:misc_RNA from 1 species
UGUGUUGCUUACCUGUCGGAAGGAAUUCGAUUGUACCGUUGCUGCUCUCCGCCCGGUGCCCUUCGUGGGUGCGGGGCGGACGCUGGGCACGCGACGCGUUCCUCGUGCGCCCUGCGGGGCUGUCGAGGCCUGCGGAGCUGUUGCCCGUUCUCUCGGAUGCGGAACGUGAGGCGCGGGCGCGGGGGUCUCGGCCUUCGCUCGCCCGGGCUACGCAAUCGUCCCUUGACGCGAACGACUGUCGCGGCCGUGUCGACCUCGUCGUGGCCCCGUGGGCCGGGACGAGGCUUGUGCGGUCGUCGACGUCGUCGAGGAGUGCUACCUGGUUGAUCCUGCCAGUAGUCAU